GGGCCUUGGGUCUGACCCUGAUGACGGGUUUGGGAGAAGAACUUGGCAGCCCCAGACUCCCCAGAACCUUGGCCUAUGGAUGUCCCCAGCAGCAGUGAAGGACGAGCGCAUAGGACGGGGCUUGUGAGUCCCAGGGUGUUUACAUGGGGCAGAAGGGGCCCCCUCGCCUGUUUGGAAUUAAAGAUCUUUUCCUGUGCUUCAGGCAUGGAGCCGAGGGGCACUCCCCAGCUCCCACCCCGAGCCACCAUUUCCCUGGAGACAGACCGAUUCUGGAGAAGCUGCCGCAGACUGGGGUGGGUUUAGUGAGCCGGUCCUGCUAAGAGCACCCGCCUCUGCCGGUGACCUCCAGUGAAACCCCGCUCACGAGGACACCUCAUCUGUGUCUGGGCCUCAGCAGCCUGGCACCAGCUCCUCCCCCGGCCAGGCACCCAGGGAAGCCAUGCUGGUUUCCAGGGACCUCGACUCCGUGCCGCCCCAGUGACACAGAGAGUUCUGCCCUCUGUGCUGUCAACUUCCCAUCCAGAGCCGCCCGACGUCACCUGCUUCAGCCUGGCUGGAUUGGAGGCAGGGUUGGGGGGGCCCGAGCCUGUGCUGUUUCCUCUUCUUUGUUGGUAUGGAAUGGGGUGAGGGUCCAUGCCCUGGCUCCUGCCACCCCUUCCUGCAGCUCCCGCCUGCUCUCUUCUGGCUGCCACCAAAGCCCCAGGCUCCUGGGUGGUCAACUUGUUGGGAGUUGGUAUCUUAAGAGGCAUUUCACUGGGGGCCGAUGUGCUGGGCUCAUUACCCUUAAAUACCAGGGGCUGCUCUGGGAAGAGAAGAGGGUGUUUUGGAGGAAGCUGAGCUGACGUCUUCCCAGGGGAGACGAGGACACAGUGCGUGUGCCUCUACAGUGCAAUCUGCAGGGGCCCUACUGUCCGCUGGCACUGGGCCAGCUCUGGGUUACAGAGUGCUUGCCACAUGCAGAAUGUGCCCUGGAGCGAGGUCUAGCUGAGCCAAUGGUCA
rnacentral:lncRNA from 1 species